AUUGAACGCUGGCGGCAGGCUUAACACAUGCAAGUCGAGCGGGGUGAUGGUGCUUGCACUAUCACUUAGCGGCGGACGGGUGAGUAAUGCUUAGGAAUCUGCCUAUUAGUGGGGGACAACAUCUCGAAAGGGGUGCUAAUACCGCAUACGUCCUACGGGAGAAAGCAGGGGAUCACUUGUGACCUUGCGCUAAUAGAUGAGCCUAAGUCGGAUUAGCUAGUUGGUGGGGUAAAGGCCUACCAAGGCGACAAUCCGUAGCGGGUCUGAGAGGAUGAUCCGCCACACUGGGACUGAGACACGGCCCAGACUCCUACGGGAGGCAGCAGUGGGGAAUAUUGGACAAUGGGGGGAACCCUGAUCCAGCCAUGCCGCGUGUGUGAAGAAGGCCUUAUGGUUGUAAAGCACUUUAAGCGAAGAGGAGGCUCUUUUGGUUAAUACCCAAGAUGAGUGGACGUUACUCGCAGAAUAAGCACCGGCUAACUCUGUGCCAGCAGCCGCGGUAA
rnacentral:rRNA from 1 species